rnacentral:rRNA from 3 species
UCUGGUGGCGAUAGCGAAGAGGUCACACCCGUUCCCAUGCCGAACACGGAAGUUAAGCUCUUCAGCGCCGAUGGUAGUCGGGGGUUUCCCCCUGUGAGAGUAGGACGCCGCCAGGC